rfam:Rattus norvegicus chromosome 7, whole genome shotgun sequence.
GGGGAUUUAGCUCAGUGGUAGAGUGCUUGCCUAGCAAGCGCAAGGCCCUGGGUUCGGUCCCCAGCCCCG